rnacentral:rRNA from 1 species
UACGUAGGGGGCUAGCGUUGUCCGGAAUCAUUGGGCGUAAAGCGCGUGUAGGCGGUUCGGUAAGUCCGCUGUGAAAGUCGGGGGCUCAACCCUCGAAUGCCGGUGGAUACUGUCGGGCUAGAGUACGGAAGAGGCGAGUGGAAUUCCUGGUGUAGCGGUGAAAUGCGCAGAUAUCAGGAGGAACACCAAUUGCGAAGGCAGCUCGCUGGGACGUUACUGACGCUGAGACGCGAAAGCGUGGGGAGCAAACAGG